UCAAUUUUGUUUCAUGAUAGUGUCUUACAUUACAGGAUAUGAAUAGACAUGGAUUAAAAGACUUUUGUAGAAUAAAGUGAAACGUAGAACUUAAUGAAAAAUCAUUUCAAAAAUGUGAAAAAUAAUCAUAUAUAUAGAAAUUCAUGUGAAUACAAUACAUUAAUAUCCUUUAGAAUCAGGUUUAAGCGGACAACUUAUGAUUACAAAUCCAGCAAAAAUGAGAUUUUUUUCUAAUUCUUCUCGUGUAAGUUCUCUUAAAUCUUGCGAAGAUAAAGGACCAGGAAGUUUUCGAUAUCCUAAAGCUAAAACUCUUGCUCCACGACGUGAAAGCGAUAAAUAUGUUGAAUCAUAAUUAUCUGGUAUAGAUGAUAACUGAAAAAAAAAAUAAAUAAAUAAAAUAUUUAAAAUAUAUGACAAUAAAAUAAACAACUUAUUAUUUUACAGACCAUAUUCUUAAUAAUUUCAGGAGCACCUUUCACAGUAGUCAUGUAAUUGAUUUCUGAAGAUCCAGGUGUUGUAUAUCCAGCUACAACUGACAUACGUUUUAAUGCGGAAGAAAAGUGAUGUCUUUGUACGAUUUUUAAGACAGGUGAUUGUCCUUUUCUAGGUAUCAUAGAAUCAGCUAAAAUAAAUUAAAAUUGUUAGAAUUUUGUCAAAAAAAUUUUAUAUAAUAUAAUAAAAUAAAAUAAUAUAAUAAAAUACUUUUUGUAAGAUUCCAUUUAAUAGCUUUUAAUGUAGCUUUUUCAAGAGGAUCUCCAACAAUUCCAUCAUCUAAUUGUACAAGAGAAUGGCAUGUUGCAAGAACUUGAAUACUUUCUAUAGGCGCAUCAGAAAGUUGCAUAACAUCUGGUUUUCCUCUAAAAUAAUAAAUGAUUUUUUAAUAUAAAUUCUUAUAUUAAAUCAAAUUUAAAAGUUA